GAGGGAAAUCAAGCCUGCCCUCAGUGCAAGACCAGAUACAAGCGCAUUAAGGGUAGUCCUAGGGUUGAUGGUGAUGAAGAAGAAGAUGAUAUUGAUGACUUGGAGCAUGAGUUUGACUAUGGGAACUUUGAUGGCUUGGGUCCGGAACAAGUUGCAGAAGCAAUGCUCUCUGCACGCCUUAAUAUUGGGCACGCUUCUCAUUCUAACGUGUCUGGAAUUCCCACACACUCAGAAGUUGAUUCUUCUCCCCUCAGCUCUAAAAUUCCCCUUUUGACAUACGGCGAGGAGGAUGCUGAAAUUUCUUCUGACCGACAUGCUCUUAUUGUGCCCCCAUACAUGGGUCAUGGAAACAGGGUUCACCCAAUGCCUUAUUCUGAUCCAUCUAUACCUUUGCAACCUAGACCUAUGGUUCCUAAGAA
rnacentral:misc_RNA from 1 species